rnacentral:rRNA from 1 species
UACGUAGGGGGCUAGCGUUGUCCGGAUUUAUUGGGCGUAAAGAGCGUGUAGGCGGCUUUGCAAGUCCGUUGUGAAAACUCGAGGCUCAACCUCGAGACGCCGGUGGAAACUGCAAAGCUAGAGUCCGGAAGAGGAGAGUGGAAUUCCUGGUGUAGCGGUGAAAUGCGCAGAUAUCAGGAGGAACACCCGUGGCGAAAGCGGCUCUCUGGGACGGUACUGACGCUGAGACGCGAAAGCGUGGGGAGCAAACAGG